rnacentral:tRNA from 1 species
UUCCCUGUAGCUCAGUUGGUAGAGCAUGGUGUUUGCAAUGCCAGGGUUGUGGGUUUGAUUCCCAUGGGGGACC